UGCAUCGAUGAAGAACGCAGCGAAAUGCGAUAAGUAAUGUGAAUUGCAGAAUUCAGUGAAUCAUCGAAUCUUUGAACGCACAUUGCGCCCCCUGGUAUUCCGGGGGGCAUGCCUGUCCGAGCGUCAUUACAACCCUCAAGCUCAGCUUGGUAUUGGGCCCCGCCGACCCGGCGGGCCCUAAAGUCAGUGGCGGUGCCGUCCGGCUCCGAGCGUAGUAAUUCUUCUCGCUCCGGAGGUCCGGUCGUGUGCUUGCCAGCAACCCCCAAUUUUUUCAGGUUGACCUCGGAUCAGGUAGGGAUACCCGCUGAACUUAAGCAUAUCAAUAAGCGGAGGAA
rnacentral:rRNA from 1 species